rnacentral:rRNA from 1 species
UAAGGAAUAUUGGUCAAUGGACGAAAGUCUGAACCAGCCAUGCCGCGUGCAGGAUUAAGGCCCUAUGGGUCGUAAACUGCUUUUAUACGGGACAAAACCCCCCUACGUGUAGGGGGCUGAUGGUACUGUAAGAAUAAGGAUCGGCUAACUUCGUGCCAGCAGCCGCGGUAAUACGAAGGAUUCGAGCGUUAUCCGGAUUUAUUGGGUUUAAAGGGUGCGUAGGCGGACUGAUAAGUCAGUGGUGAAAGCCUGUUGCUUAACAACAGAACUGCCAUUGAUACUGCCAGUCUUGAGUACAGUUGAGGUAGGCGGAAUGUGUCAUGUAGUGGUGAAAUACUUAGAUAUGACACAGAACACCGAUUGCGAAGGCAGCUUGCUAAACUGUAACUGACGCUGAGGCACGAAAGCAUGGGGAGCAAACAG